rnacentral:rRNA from 1 species
CCUACGGGUGGCAGCAGUGGGGGAUAUUGCACAAUGGGGGAACCCCUGAUGCAGCGACGCCGCGUGUGGGAAGACGGUCCUCUGGAUUGUAAACCACUGUCCCCAGGGACGAAGAUGACGGUACCUGGGGAGGAAGCUCCGGCUAACUACGUGCCAGCAGCCGCGGUAAUACGUAGGGAGCAAGCGUAGUCCGGAAUUACUGGGUGUAAAGGGAGCGUAGGCGGGAUGGCAAGUUGGGUGUUAAAUCUACCGGCUCAACUGGGAGUCGCACUCAAAACUGCUAUUCUUGAGUGGAGUAGAGGCAGGCGGAAUGCCUAGUGUAGCGGUGAAAUGCGUAGAUAUUAGGAGGAACACCAGUGGCGAAGGCGGCCUGCUGGGCUUUUACUGACGCUGAGGCUCGAAAGUGUGGGGAGCAAACAGGAUUAGAUACCCGAGUAGUC